ACUACCCUCUACUGGAUGAGACUUUACAUAUCUGAGAUAACUCAAUUCAUUCAAGUUUUGACUCCUGAUGAGUUUUUCCUGAUGUGGGAAAAAAUGACGAAUGACCCAAUUGAGAUGACCACUUCAUCAGUCCUAUUACGUCAGGUUUGGAAUCAACAGCGCACGAAAUCAAGAAGGGGUUCAUGCUAAGUCAUUAGUCUUUCCAACACUUACUUGGCACACACAUGCACUGGUUAAUUUAGGAUUUAUCCUCUGCCUGCUUCCUAAAAGGAUUUGAGUGUUAGCUAUAAUGGAAAAUGCAGACAGAUUACUGAUGUUAUCCCCGGAACUACCGAAAUUCAGCUCAAAGCAAUAUCACUCUGAAUCAGUA